AGCGAACGCUGGCGGCAGGCUUAACACAUGCAAGUCGAGCGCCCGUAGCAAUACGGGAGCGGCAGACGGGUGAGUAACACGUGGGAACGUGCCUUUCGGUUCGGAACAACCCAGGGAAACUUGGGCUAAUACCGGAUACGCCCUUACGGGGAAAGAUUUAUCGCCGAAAGAUCGGCCCGCGUCUGAUUAGCUAGUUGGUGGGGUAAUGGCUCACCAAGGCGACGAUCAGUAGCUGGUCUGAGAGGAUGAUCAGCCACACUGGGACUGAGACACGGCCCAGACUCCUACGGGAGGCAGCAGUGGGGAAUCUUGCGCAAUGCGCGAAAGCGUGACGCAGCAACGCCGCGUGGGGGAAGAAGCCUU
rnacentral:rRNA from 1 species